UGCAACAGAAGCAGCCAUGGGGGGAGGGGCUAACACACCACCAUUUGUCGAGCUGCAGGAAGGCGGUGGAACUAAAAGUGCUCAUUAGCACACUGUAACACCCCCUCUGGGGCUUCCGGGUCAUGAGCACCCCUGCCUGGGCCCUGCCACCUUCCCCUGGGGGUGAUAUGCCCUGUCUGGCCACGGGCCUUACAUGUAGUUUGCUCCUGUGUCAGCACUCCGGACAGCCUGCCAGACCCUGCGCUCACUCCCUUGUGUGCUCCCUCCCACCAGGGGCUGAGCAUGGCAGGCUGAGCAGAUGGGGUGCCCCCUGCAACGAGUCCAGCAAAGGGGCCAAGAAAAAUCCUGCAUCAGUAGGACUGUUUUAAAAAUUAAUUGAUUCUUGCAAAAUGUUGUUUGGAGUAGUCUCUGGUAUGUCAUCAGCUCUUGGAAAAACAUUAGCUACUAUCAUCAAUUCCUAUAUACUCGAUUUCUAACCAUGGGCUAUUCCCAAUCACCUGCUGUCUCUCACAGAGCAUCAGAAUCACCCCCCGUGCUCAGUCCACUCACUAAGCAGGACUCUGUUCCAGUUCUUUCAUAGCUUUUUAAGCCUAAGCAGCUGCCAAGCUGGGAGAUGAGCAGAGUGGCCAUUAGCAGCAAACUCUGUCUUCUCAAAUAAUACCAUCCACUUAAGUGGCUGUUAGACUUUAUAGGAUAUAAACAUGUUCCUCUCUAAUUCACUUUCUGUUUACACAACAGAAUAAGCACUUUAUCCCCUCAUUUCAGCUUUUCUUCUCCCUGAAAAAUCAGAUAUUCAGCCCCAGGCAGUUAUCUGUUCUCUCAUUAGCCCCCAUGCUGAGAGAUUCAUUGUCUCAAAAAUGCUUGAUUUCAUGAGCUGAUCACUAUUUCUAAAGUCAAAGUGAAACAACAACACAACAACAAAAAUCACUUAUUUAUGAUAGUGUUUAGAAAGCUUUUUUUCUUUUCUUCUUCAUCUAUCUCUUCCAUGGCCCCAGGGUAUUUAUACCAUGUCUCUCGUUAUAGACUCUCUGCAAUACCAGUUAUGGAUGUGCUAUUAUAAAAGGAAAUUUUUGUUGCUGUAAUUUGUUUUGUGGCAAUGUUAGCAACCAAGAAGCUGCAAGCACACUGUUCUAAUCUGGGCCACCUUGUUUCUUGAUGGAGUGUUUGGACUAAGUAAACACAUGAGAGCAGUUUCUAAAAGAAGCAGCCUAGAAAACAAGCCCUGAGCCCCACCGGCUUCCCACUCCUCAUAUUUCAUCACCAGCCUCGCCUUGGGGGUAAUGGCUCUAACAUCCAGAAUGCCAACUCUCCUGAUUUGUCAACAGAAAUCUAGCCUUUUAAGUGAAAUCUUUAAAAAUAUAUAAACAGCUGAAUUUUCUUUUAUAAAAAUGUUUUUCAGGCCAAACUAAAUACAUAUAAGGGUCAGCUUUGGCCAAAGGACCAAUAUAUUUAGGAAUUUGGGUUUAAAAUAUCAGGCUCUGCCUGUGAGCUUUGGACCCGCCAACCACAGGGCAUUUAUCCAAACUGGAUGGGUCACAGCUUUCUCCUCCGGAAAUGUGCCUAUUACACUUGCCUCCAAUCUACCCGAUAUUGUCACAGGGAAGAAGGAGACAUUGCUUGCUAAUCCAGUGGCAAGGAGGCAAAUGAGC
rnacentral:lncRNA from 10 species